GGGGGCGUAGCUCAGUUGGUAGAGCGCCUGCUUUGCAAGCAGGAUGUCGUCGGUUCGACUCCGGUCGCCUCCACCA
rnacentral:tRNA from 1 species